UACGGGGUAGGGCAGCGUUGUGAAUUACUGGGCGUAAAGGGCUCGUAGGUGGCCAACUAAGUCAGACGUGAAAUCCCUCGGCUUAACCGGGGAACUGCGUCUGAUACUGGAUGGCUUGAGUUUGGGAGAGGGAUGCGGAAUUCCAGGUGUAGCGGUGAAAUGCGCAGAUAUCAGGAAGAACACCCGUGGCGAAGGCGGCUCUCUGGAACGCAACUGACGCUGAGACGCGAAAGCGUGGGGAGCAAACAGG
rnacentral:rRNA from 1 species